UACGUAGGGUGCAAGCGUUGUCCGGAAUUAUUGGGCGUAAAGAGCUCGUAGGCGGUUUGUCGCGUCGAAUGUGAAAACCCGGGGCUCAACUCCGGGCCUGCAUUCGAUACGGGCAGACUAGAGUUCGGUAGGGGAGUCUGGAAUUCCUGGUGGUAGCGGUGAAAUGCGCAGAUAUCAGGAGGAACACCGGUGGCGAAGGCGGGACUCUGGGCCGAUACUGACGCUGAGGAGCGAAAGCGUGGGGAGCGAACAGG
rnacentral:rRNA from 1 species